CGGGGCUUAAAGUCUUGUAAUUGGAAUGAUGGGAAUUUAAACCUCUUCCAGAGUAUCAAUUGGAGGGCAAGUCUGGUGCCAGCAGCCGCGGUAAUUCCAGCUCCAAUAGCGUAUAUUAAAAUUGUUGCAGUUAAAAAGCUCGUAGUUGAAUUUCUGCUGCAUCGCUGUGUCCCUUCGGGGUCUCUGCAUGUGGCUUAUUUCGGACGAAGUUCGCUUUGUCUGGAUGUUUACUUUGAGAAAAUUAGAGUGCUCAAAGCAGGCUUUUGCCUUGAAUAGUUUAGCAUGGAAUAAUAAAGUAGGACUUUGGUUCUAUUUUGUUGGUUUUAGGUACCAAAGUAAUGGUUAAUAGGAACAGUUGGGGGCAUUCGUAUUUAACUGUCAGAGGUGAAAUUCUUAGAUUUGUUAAAGACGAACUACUGCGAAAGCAUUUGCCAAGGAUGUUUUCAUUAAUCAAGAAC
rnacentral:rRNA from 1 species